CACACACACACAAACAAACAAUUACAAUAAUCAACCAUGAUAAACAACAACUAGCUUAAACAGAUAAUCCAUAACUGAUACAGCUAAAUCUUACACUAUCAAUUUUUUCUAUGAAACCAAUAAUUGUGUAGAAUUAUUGGCAAUUUAUUUCUUACACAAUGGUAAAGUGUAAUUAGCAAUAAAUAAAUAAAUGAAAACUUGGAAGUGAUGUGAUAAAGGGAACACAGCACCUGCCCUGUACCGGGUGCCAAAACAUCUUUUGAGAAUUACUCAUUUUCAUAUUUAUUCAUUU
rnacentral:misc_RNA from 1 species